CCUCAAGAGAUCUCAAAUGUGGUCAAGCCUCCAGUAUUAGAUAAAUUACCUCUCAGAGUGUAAAGGUUUUCUGGAUGUGUUGUCAGAGAUAUUGGGGAAUUAGAAAAGUGAAAGAAGCCAGGCAAUGUGCAAAUAUUUAAAAAAUAGAUUUGAGAAAUCUGGAAUCUUUUAUUAGAUAGAUGGUUGAUGAACACUUGGAAUAGAAGAUGGUAAUUAAUGGGGACUGACAUAUGCUUUCUAAGAACAGGUCAGUCAAAGUAAACUCCCAUUUUCUUUUAUCAUAGAUUUCCUAGAUUGUAUGAUCACCGUAAAAGAGCAGACAAAGCAUAUACUUAUUGGCCCUGUUGUCAUCACUGAACCAAAAUCCACAUGGGAGAAGAUAAAUUUCCUCAGAGCUCAGAAAAGGUCAAACAGAAGCCACUGGCAAAAAGAAGAACCGAAGGACUCCAGUCCUUUGAAAGCCAGCUGAACGGUCAUCGGUAAGUGCGACACCUCACUCCCGUUGGCCCAGGACUUUCCCUGGUUUAGCACUGAAAGUCCCAAAUGCCAAGAACCCUCUUAGUCUCUGGAAAACUGGAAUGGCUGGUCUCUCAGGGACACUCAAGAUUAAUUAAAAAAAAAAAAUAAGUUUCGACAUAACUAUUGCAGGAUUGUGAGCACAGUAUUGCACUUUAUUUUGCUACUUUCAGUGAAAACCCCCAAAGAUAGUUAAAAUUUAACAAUAUAAAAAAGUAUCAAAUGUUAUUUCAAUUGUAUCAAAUGAACAGAUGAGGUAUUUGGUGAAAAGAAAAAUAGAAAUUGCCAUACCCUUCUUCCCUUUCUCAAUAUUGUGAGAAUAGCUUUUUGGAGAGAAAGAGAAGGAAAAAAAGCAGAAAAAUAGACUUUACCUUCAUUAUUAACUGGACUCCAUUGAGCUCCAAAAUGGAG
rnacentral:lncRNA from 1 species